GCUGAGGUCUGUCUCGACUGCCCUGUGUCUGUAGGGCGUGGUCGUUGGAAAUGCCUCAUAGAUGAACUCUGCAGGUCGCUUUACCCACAGGUUCACUGUAAUGAGCCUGGUGAGAUAUCACUGCAGUACACAG
ensembl:snoRNA small nucleolar RNA SNORA18